rnacentral:rRNA from 1 species
CAAUAAGCGGAGGAAAAGAAACUAACAAGGAUUCCCCUAGUAACGGCGAGUGAAGAGGGAAAAGCUCAAAUUUAAAAUCUGGUGGCCUACGGUCAUCCGAAUUGUAAUCUAGAGAAGUGUUUUCCGUGCUGGACCGUGUACAAGUCCUUUGGAACAAGGCGUCAUAGAGGGUGAGAAUCCCGUCUACGACACGGACUACCAGUGCUUUGUGAUACACUCUCAACGAGUCGAGUUGUUUGGGAAUGCAGCUCAAAAUGGGUGGUAAAUUCCAUCUAAAGCUAAAUACGGGCGAAAGACCGAUAGCGAACAAGUACCGUGAGGGAAAGAUGAAAAGCACUUUGGAAAGAGAGUUAAACAGUACGUGAAAUUGUUGAAAGGGAAACGCUUGAAGUCAGUCGCGUCUUCAGAAAUUCAGCCUUGCUUCUGCUUGGUGUACUUUUCUGUUGGACGGGCCAGCAUCAGUUUUGACCGCCAGAAAAAGGUGAGAGGAAGGUGGCACCUCCGGGUGUGUUAUAGCCUCUCAUCGUAUGUGGCGGUUGGGACUGAGGAUCGCAGCAUGCCUUUAUGGUCGGGGUUCGCCCACGUAACGUGCUUAGGAUGCUGGCGUAAUGGCUUUAAGCGACCCGUCUUGAAACACGGACCAAGGAGUCUAACAUGCC